rnacentral:rRNA from 1 species
GAUGAACGCUGGCGGCGUGCUUAACACAUGCAAGUCGAACGGGAAACCUUUUAUUGAAGCUUCGGCAGAUUUAGCUGGUUUCUAGUGGCGGACGGGUGAGUAACGCGUGGGUAACCUGCCCUAUACAGGGGGAUAACAACCAGAAAUGGUUGCUAAUACCGCAUAAGCGCACAGGGCCGCAUGGUCCGGUGUGAAAAACUCCGGUGGUAUAGGAUGGACCCGCGUUGGAUUAGCCAGUUGGCAGGGUAACGGCCUACCAAAGCGACGAUCCAUAGCCGGCCUGAGAGGGUGAACGGCCACAUUGGGACUGAGACACGGCCCAGACUCCUACGGGAGGCAGCAGUGGGGAAUAUUGCACAAUGGGGGAAACCCUGAUGCAGCGACGCCGCGUGAAGGAAGAAGUAUCUCGGUAUGUAAACUUCUAUCAGCAGGGAAGAUAGUGACGGUACCUGACGAAGAAGCCCCGGCUAACUACGUG